GCAUAUCAAUAAGCGGAGGAAAAGAAACCAACAGGGAUUGCCCCAGUAACGGCGAGUGAAGCGGCAACAGCUCAAAUUUGAAAUCUGGCCCUCGGGUCCGAGUUGUAAUUUGUAGAGGAUGCUUUUGGCGAGGUGCCUUCCGAGUUCCCUGGAACGGGACGCCAUAGAGGGUGAGAGCCCCGUCUGGUCGGACACCGAGCCUCUGUAAAGCUCCUUCGACGAGUCGAGUAGUUUGGGAAUGCUGCUCAAAAUGGGAGGUAUAUGUCUUCUAAAGCUAAAUAUUGGCCAGAGACCGAUAGCGCACAAGUAGAGUGAUCGAAAGAUGAAAAGCACUUUGAAAAGAGGGUUAAAAAGUACGUGAAAUUGUUGAAAGGGAAGCGCUUAUGACCAGACUUGCGCCCGGUGAAUCAUCCAGCGUUCUCGCUGGUGCACUUUGCCGGGCACAGGCCAGCAUCAGUUUGGCGCGGGGGAAAAAGGCUUCGGGAAUGUGGCUCCCUCGGGAGUGUUAUAGCCCGCUGCGUAAUACCCUGCGCCGGACUGAGGUACGCGCAUUGCAAGGAUGCUGGCGUAAUGGUCAUCAGCGACCCGUCUUGAAACACGGACCAAGGAGUCGUCUUCGUAUGCGAGUGUUCGGGUGUCAAACCCCUACGCGUAAUGAAAGUGAACGCAGGUGAGAGCUUCGGCGCAUCAUCGACCGAUCCUGAUGUUCUCGGAUGGAUUUGAGUAAGAGCAUACGGGGCCGGACCCGAAAGAAGGUGAACUAUGCCUGUAUAGGGUGAAGCCAGAGGAAACUCUGGUGGAGGCUCGCAGCGGUUCUGACGUGCGAAUCGAUCGUCAAAUAUGGGCAUGGGGGCGAAAGACUAAUCGAACCUUCUAGUAGCUGGUUUCCGC
rnacentral:rRNA from 1 species